UAAUAGCUCAUCCAAAGAUGAUUAUCAAGAAAGUGUCUUUUUCUUGAUCAAUAAAGAAAACAAAACAAGAAAAUAAUUCAAAAAUGCUACAAUAGAAAAGAGUAAUUAGCACCUGCGACAAUAUGCUCAUCGUACUAAUUUAUAAUUAAAAGAAACAGUCUUGCUUUAUUGAUUAAUCUCCCUUAGAGCACCCGCAGUGGUGCCCCGAUAGGGGGGUCUCGAGUCACCCACCCUAUCGGAUCGCCCACUGCAGCAGACGAUCGCUCGAGGGUGCCCUGAUCUAUCGGGGCCGACCUG
rnacentral:lncRNA from 1 species